rnacentral:rRNA from 1 species
CGAAACCAGGUGAUCUACCCAUGUCCAGGAUGAAGGUAAGGUAAUACUUACUGGAGGUCCGAACCCACGCACGUUGAAAAGUGCGGGGAUGAGGUGUGGGUAGCGGAGAAAUUCCAAUCGAACUUGGAGAUAGCUGGUUCUCUCCGAAAUAGCUUUAGGGCUAGCCUCGAGGUAAAGAGUCAUGGAGGUAGAGCACUGUUUGGACUAGGGGCCCUUCUCGGGUUACCGAAUUCAGAUAAACUCCGAAUGCCAUGUACUUAUACUCGGGAGUCAGACUGCGAGUGAUAAGAUCCGUAGUCGAAAGGGAAACAGCCCAGACCACCAGUUAAGGUCCCCAAAUAUAUGUUAAGUGGAAAAGGAUGUGGGGUUGCUUAGACAACCAGGAUGUUGGCUUAGAAGCAGCCACCAUUGAAAGAGUGCGUAAUAGCUCACUGGUCGAGUGACCCCGCGCCGAAAAUGUACCGGGGCUAAACAUAUUACCGAAACUGUGGAUGAACCUCUUUAGAGGUUCGUGGUAGGAGAGCGUUCUAAGGGCGGUGAAGUCAGACCGGAAGGACUGGUGGAGCGCUUAGAAGUGAGAAUGCCGGUAUGAGUAGCGAAAGAAGGGUGAGAAUCCCUUCCACCGAAUAUCUAAGGUUUCCUGAGGAAGGCUCGUCCGCUCAGGGUUAGUCGGGACCUAAGCCGAGGCCGAUAGGCGUAGGCGAUGGACAACAGGUAGAGAUUCCUGUACCAGUGCUAAUUGUUUAACCGAUGGGGUGACACAGAAGGAUAGGGAAUCGCACGAAUGGAAAUGUGCGUCCAAGCAGUGAGUGUGAGAAGUAGGCAAAUCCGCUUCUCGCGAAGCAUGAGCUGUGAUGGGGAAGGAAAUUAAGUACGGAAGUUCCUGAUUUCACGCUGUCAAGAAAAGCCUCUAGGAAGAGUAGUACUGCCCGUACCGCAAACCGACACAGGUAGAUGAGGAGAGAAUCCUAAGGUGAGCGAGAGAACUCUCGUUAAGGAACUCGGCAAAAUGACCCCGUAACUUCGGGAGAAGGGGUGCUCUAUUAGGGUGCAAGCCCGAGAGAGCCGCAGUGAAUAGGCCCAGGCGACUGUUUAGCAAAAACACAGGUCUCUGCAAAACCGUAAGGUGACGUAUAGGGGCUGACGCCUGCCCGGUGCUGGAAGGUUAAGAGGAGUGCUUAGCUUCGGCGAAGGUACGAAUUGAAGCCCCAGUAAACGGCGGCCGUAACUAUAACGGUCCUAAGGUAGCGAAAUUCCUUGUCGGGUAAGUUCCGACCCGCACGAAAGGCGCAACGAUCUGGGCACUGUCUCAACGAGAGACUCGGUGAAAUUAUAGUACCUGUGAAGAUGCAGGUUACCCGCGACAGGACGGAAAGACCCCGUGGAGCUUUACUGCAACCUGAUAUGGAAUGUUUGUACCGCUUGUACAGGAUAGGUAGGAGCCGAAGAGACGUGUGCGCUAGCAUACGAGGAGGCAAUGGUGGGAUACUACCCUGGCUGUAUGACCAUUCUAACCCGCCACGCUUAGCGCGUGGGGAGACAGUGUCAGGUGGGCAGUUUGACUGGGGCGGUCGCCU